rnacentral:rRNA from 1 species
AGAGUUUGAUCAUGGCUCAGAACGAACGCUGGCGGCAUGCCUAACAAAUGCAAGUCGAACGAGACCUUCGGGUCUAGUGGCGCACGGGUGCGUAACACGUGGGAAUCUGCCUUCAGGUACGGAAUAACUCAGGGAAACUUGUGCUAAUACCGUAUGAUGACUUCGGUCCAAAGAUUUAUCGCCUGAAGAUGAGCCCGCGUCGGAUUAGCUAGUUGGUGGGGUAAAGGCCCACCAAGGCGACGAUCCGUAGCUGGUCUGAGAGGAUGAUCAGCCACACUGGGACUGAGACACGGCCCAGACUCCUACGGGAGGCAGCAGUGGGGAAUAUUGGACAAUGGGCGAAAGCCUGAUCCAGCAAUGCCGCGUGAGUGAAGAAGGCCUUCGGGUUGUAAAGCUCUUUUACCCGGGAAGAUAAUGACUGUACCGGGAGAAUAAGCCCCGGCUAACUCCGUGCCAGCCGCCGCGGUAAUAC